rnacentral:rRNA from 1 species
GAUGAACGCUAGCUACAGGCUUAACACAUGCAAGUCGAGGGCAGCAUGGUCUUAGCUUGCUAAGGCCGAUGGCGACCGGCGCACGGGUGAGUAACGCGUAUCCAACCUGCCUUACACUCUUGGACAGCCUUCUGAAAGGGAGAUUAAUACCAAGAUGUUAUCAUGAGUAAGCAUUUUCGCAUGAUUAAAGGUUACCGGUGUAAGAUGGGGAUGCGUUCCAUUAGAUAGUAGGCGGGUAACGGCCCACCUAGUCUUCGAUGGAUAGGGGUUCUGAGAGGAAGGUCCCCCACAUUGGAACUGAGACACGGUCCAAACGUCCUACGGGAGGCCAGCAGUGAGGAAUAUUGGUCAAUGGACGAGAGUCUGAACCAGCCAAGUAGCGUGAAGGAUGAAGGUUCUAUGGAUU